AAAGAGAGAGUUGGAAAAGAGAAGAAGAGAGAGUCAGGAGGGAGAGAGUCAGAAGAGAGAGAGUCAGAGGAGAGAGAUUCAGAGGAGAGAGAGUCAGAAGAGAGAGAGAGAGAGAGAGAGAGAGAGAGAGAGAGAGAGAGAGAGAGUCAGGAGAGAAACAGAGAAGACAGAAGAAAGAGAGAGUCAGAAGAGAAAGAGGUCAGAAGAUCGUAUCAAGGUUCCUGAGUAAAACUGCUUGAAGAAGAUCUCCUAUGGUCGUGUCUACCUUGCUGGUCGAGGUUGGGCGCAGCAAGUGGUGGCCCAUACGGGGAAUCCUCGAAUCCACCUUAAAGGGACUCAACUCUCUCCGAGAUCAGAACUUCUUGCAGUCAGGGCAGAGCUGGAAAGCUCCCAAGUUAUUUUUUAGGUAAUUGGACUGGAGAAUUCGAUUUCUUAAUGGAUCAGCUACGUGUAGCCAUCGUGACCGUGAACUCCACAUGUGCAGAUGCUAGACUGGCUACAGGAUUGUCAUCUUGGAUUACUGCUGCUAUGAAUCAUCUUAGAGAGUGGGUGGAUAUGGGAGCCCUAGCUGGACUCUUGCUGCUGGUCUCCCUAGUGAGCCUGUAGUGUCUCUGUAAAAUGAGGUUUGUCCAGAGGCGGCAGCGGCUAAGGUGGUACAGACAAUUACAGCCAUUGAAGCAGGACAGUCCCCUCAAGCCUGGCUUACGGUCAUUCAGAAGACCUAGUUGCACCUCACCCCUGAGUAUAUGUGAGUGACCUUGCCCAGCGACGGGCAACAUCCCUUCUACCUAAGGCAUGGAACCUUGUGGGUGACGAGGUGUCCUACAACGGGUUUAAUGAAGGGAUGAUCCUAAGACAGGGGGGGGGGUCACCACGCUCAGCAGUGCCUUUGCCUUCUUGAUUAAUUAAACAAAAAGGGGGAACUGUAGAGAGCUGUGACGUGCCACACCUCAAAGAUAGCACUGGUUUCCGCCUUCCACCCUCCCAACGAUGAGUGCUCCUUGCAGUAAGCAAGUCCUUUUUUGGCUAUGUCUGCCUGGCCCGCUAGCUUCCGCAUAGUGACAGCCUAUCUACAUGACCCACCUGGCUUGCUAGGACUGGCCAGUACUAGCUAUUUAAGUGUGGUGCAGGGCGUUCCCCGAAAAGAGAGAGUCGGAAAAGAGAAGAAGAGAGAGUCAGGAGGGAGAGAGUCAGAAGAGAGAGAGUCAGAGGAGAGAGAUUCAGAGGAGAGAGAGUCAGAAGAGAGAGAGAGAGAGAG
rnacentral:lncRNA from 1 species